rnacentral:lncRNA from 1 species
CUUGACUCUCUUUUCUUAGUUCUUCUGCUUUUUUUUCCCCAUCUCCUUGUCUCUCUAGGGGUCAGUGAUUUUCAAAAUUUCCACCCAAACUACAAAUGCAUGGCAUAUUUAGAGCGAACUAUUGGAAACAUUUCUUCCCCAUAAGCUGCCAGUGACAUAUUGACCUGGGGAGAUCCAUGGCUUGACAAAGGAGCUGGAGAUUGCUGUGGGGUAAUCUAGAGAAGACAAAAGCUACAUUUAGUGCACUGGAAUGCAGUGAAAUAUGAAAGUUUUGAAGAUGCUGCAUUGGAGGAAAAUGGCUUGGCUGUGAUUGGAGUAUUUUUGAAGGUAAAAUCAGAUGGGUCAGCAGGGCUGGCUCUGGGGUGGGACGAACCCAAGGAGGGGCUGUUGGAGAGAUCCACGAUAUUGGGAUUCAAAUGUGAGGGCCAGAAGUGGUGUGUUAAGUCCAGCGAUGGGGACCAGAGAGAGCUUCCAUGUCUUGGGCAGGAUGAAUUCUUGUCACUGGUAGUUUCUCCAUCCCUAGUGCCAUGGGACCUGGGAGCAGUCACCCCUUUUACUCUUCCUCCAGUCCCCUCCACCUCUCCCUUCCCAUCCCCACAGCACUGUACUCGUCCGCUCAACUGUAUAUAUUUUCAUUACCCUAUUUAUUUUGUUAAUGAAUUGUACAUCGCCUUGAUUCUAUUUAGUUGCCAUUGUUUUUACGAGAUGUUUUUCCCCUUGACUCUAUUUAUUGCCAUUGUUCUCGUCUGUCCGUCUCCCCCGAUUAGACUGUAAGCCCAUCAAACGGCAGGGACUGUCUCUAUCUGUUGCCGACUUGUUCAUCCCAAGCGCUUAGUACAGUGCUCUGCACAUAGUAAGCGCUCAAUAAAUACUAUUGAAUGAAUGAAUGAAUGAAUGAAA